rnacentral:rRNA from 1 species
AGAUUGAACGCUGGCGGCAGGCCUAACACAUGCAAGUCGAACGGUAACAGGAAGCAGCUUGCUGCUUCGCUGACGAGUGGCGGACGGGUGAGUAAUGUCUGGGAAGCUGCCUGAUGGAGGGGGAUAACUACUGGAAACGGUAGCUAAUACCGCAUAAUGUCGCAAGACCAAAGAGGGGGACCUUCGGGCCUCUUGCCAUCGGAUGUGCCCAGAUGGGAUUAGCUUGUUGGUGGGGUAACGGCUCACCAAGGCGACGAUCCCUAGCUGGUCUGAGAGGAUGACCAGCCACACUGGAACUGAGACACGGUCCAGACUCCUACGGGAGGCAGCAGUGGGGAAUAUUGCACAAUGGGCGCAAGCCUGAUGCAGCCAUGCCGCGUGUAUGAAGAAGGCCUUCGGGUUGUAAAGUACUUUCAGCGGGGAGGAAGGGAGUAAAGUUAAUACCUUUGCUCAUUGACGUUACCCGCAGAAGAAGCACCGGCUAACUCCGUGCCAGCAGCCGCGGUAAUACGGAGGGUGCAAGCGUUAAUCGGAAUUACUGGGCGUAAAGCGCACGCAGGCGGUUUGUUAAGUCAGAUGUGAAAUCCCCGGGCUCAACCUGGGAACUGCAUCUGAUACUGGCAAGCUUGAGUCUCGUAGAGGGGGGUAGAAUUCCAGGUGUAGCGGUGAAAUGCGUAGAGAUCUGGAGGAAUACCGGUGGCGAAGGCGGCCCCCUGGACGAAGACUGACGCUCAGGUGCGAAAGCGUGGGGAGCAAACAGGAUUAGAUACCCUGGUAGUCCACGCCGUAAACGAUGUCGACUUGGAGGUUGUGCCCUUGAGGCGUGGCUUCCGGAGCUAACGCGUUAAGUCGACCGCCUGGGGAGUACGGCCGCAAGGUUAAAACUCAAAUGAAUUGACGGGGGCCCGCACAAGCGGUGGAGCAUGUGGUUUAAUUCGAUGCAACGCGAAGAACCUUACCUGGUCCUGACAUCCACGGAAGUUUUCAGAGAUGAGAAUGUGCCUUCGGGAACCGUGAGACAGGUGCUGCAUGGCUGUCGUCAGCUCGUGUUGUGAAAUGUUGGGUUAAGUCCCGCAACGAGCGCAACCCUUAUCCUUUGUUGCCAGCGGUCCGGCCGGGAACUCAAAGGAGACUGCCAGUGAUAAACUGGAGGAAGGUGGGGAUGACGUCAAGUCAUCAUGGCCCUUACGACCAGGGCUACACACGGGCUACAAUGGCGCAUACAAAGAGAAGCGACCUCGCGAGAGCAAGCGGACCUCAUAAAGUGCGUCGUAGUCCGGAUUGGAGUCUGCAACUCGACUCCAUGAAGUCGGAAUCGCUAGUAAUCGUGGAUCAGAAUGCCACGGUGAAUACGUUCCCGGGCCUUGUGCACACCGCCCGUCACACCAUGGGAGUGGGUUGCAAAAGAAGUAGGUAGCUUAACCUUCGGGAGGGCGCUUACCACUUUGUGAUUCAUGACUGGGGUGAAGUCGAAACAAGGUA